AAGACCAAAGCUAUAUACCUUUGAGAUGCCCUGAUAGGUCUGAGGGACUACUCGGGGAAACCAUAAUACUUUCAAUUCCACAAAGUCCUUGAGCUCACAAGAUGGUCCAAGCCAGAACUUCGAGGCUGAGAACUAGGAUAAACAAGCUAUCCAGAAUCAAGGCUGCCUCUGCUGAGGGCAGCCAGCCUACCUUAAGGUGACAUGGAAAGGCAUGUGAAUUCUUUUCAAAAUCACUUGUUUACACAUCCAGGUGUUCUGUGGGUGAGAAGGAAUCAGGUUAUAGUGAAGGAUGGGCACAUGUCCUAAGUCUAUCUAAUCCCCAACUCUUCAGCCCAUGUGGCAAUGACCACCUCGAACACCUCUCCAUUGGAGGUGAAGCUGGAGGGAUCUGCCAGCUGCCACUUCACAAGAGGAGGGGAGCCCACUUGGGAAUGGAAACCAAACAGAAAACACAUUUAUUCAAGUUGAGAGGGGAAAAAUAUCUUGAUGACAUCCUCUGACCCCCUGUAUGGAGCCACAUCUGAAGGUUGAUUACUCAUGGAGUUUUCAGUUAUAUGAGUCAAUAAAUUCCCUUUUUGCUUAA